AUUGAACGCUGGCGGCAGGCCUAACACAUGCAAGUCGAGCGAGCGGCGGACGGGUGAGUAAUGUAUGGGGACUGCCCGAUAGAGGGGGAUAACUACUGGAAACGGUGGCUACUACCGCAUCCUAUCGGAUAACCCAUAUGGGAUUAGCUAGUAGGUGGGGUAAAGGCUCACCAAGGCGACGAUCCCUAGCUGGUCUGAGAGGAUGAUCAGCCACACUGGUACUGAGACACGGCCCAGACUCCUACGGAGGCAGCAGUGGGGAAUAUUGGCCAAUGGGCGCAAGCCUGAUGCAGCCAGGCCGCGUGUAUGAAGAAGGCCUUAGGGUUGUAAAGUACUGUCAGCGGGGAGGCGUUACCCAAAGAAGAAGCACCGGCUAACUCCGUGCCAGCCGCCGCGGUAAUUC
rnacentral:rRNA from 1 species